AAGCAUUAUACAGCGAAACUGCGAAUGGCUCAUUAUAUAAGUUAUCGUUUAUUUGAUAGUGCCUUACUACUUGGAUAACCGUGGUAAUUCUAGAGCUAAUACAUGCUAAAAAUCCCGACUCCGGAAGGGAUGUAUUUAUUAGAUUAAAAACCAAUGCCCUCUGGGCUCCCUGGUGAUUCAUGAUAACUUCUCGAAUCGCACGGCCUUGCGCCGGCGAUGGUUCAUUCAAAUUUCUUCCCUAUCAACUUUCGAUGUUUGGGUAGUGGCCAAACAUGGUGGCAACGGGUAACGGAGGGUUAGGGCUCGACCCCGGAGAAGGAGCCUGAGAAACGGCUACUACAUCCAAGGAAGGCAGCAGGCGCGCAAAUUACCCAAUCCCGACACGGGGAGGUAGUGACAAUAAAUACUGAUACAGGGCUCUUUUGGGUCUUGUAAUUGGAAUGAGUACAAUUUAAAUCCCUUAACGAGGAACAAUUGGAGGGCAAGUCUGGUGCCAGCAGCCGCGGUAAUUCCAGCUCCAAUAGCGUAUAUUAAAGUUGUUGUGGUUAAAAAGCUCGUAGUUGAACCUUGGGCCUGGCUGGCCGGUCCGCCUCACCGCGUGUACUGGUCCGGCCGGGCCUUUCCCUCUGUGGAACCCCAUGCCCUUCACUGGGUGUGGCGGGGAAACAGGACUUUUACUUUGAAAAAAUUAGAGUGCUCCAGGCAGGCCUAUGCUCGAAUACAUUAGCAUGGAAUAAUGAAAUAGGACGCGCGGUUCUAUUUUGUUGGUUUCUAGGACCGCCGUAAUGAUUAAUAGGGACAGUCGGGGGCAUCAGUAUUCAAUUGUCAGAGGUGAAAUUCUUGGAUUUAUUGAAGACUAACUACUGCGAAAGCAUUUGCCAAGGAUGUUUUCAUUAAUCAGGAACGAAAGUUAGGGGAUCGAAGACGAUCAGAUACCGUCGUAGUCUUAACCAUAAACUAUGCCGACUAGGGAUCGGACGAUGUUAUUUUUUGACUCGUUCGGCACCUUACGAGAAAUCAAAGUGCUUGGGCUCCA
rnacentral:rRNA from 1 species